UGGGUUGUGGCUCAGUGGUAGAGUGCUCACCUAGCAUGUGCAAGGCCCUGGGUUCAAUCCUCAGCACCACAU
rnacentral:tRNA from 2 species